CAGAUUUCUUUCAAUUAUAAGUUGGAGAACGAAAGCAAAGUCGCUGUGCUUCUUCGGGACUCAUCAAAUCCCAGCAAAGUCUGUGUUAAUUGGCCUCAUCAUCAUCUGUGGUAACCGAUUGCACUUCCGCCUAUAAACGUGUUAUUUGAUUGCAGUGAACAGAGUCAUUGAUGCAAACGAACGACGGGUCUCUGAUAUUCAUAACUGCGAAGAUAAACUCUCCAAGAAGAAGGAAAUCAAACUGAAACGUUGGAGCUGAUGAAGUUGCUUGAGAAUGAUGAUCACAUUCGGUUGAUUGGAGUGAAGGAAAAAAAACAUCUUUCUCUCUUCAAAUCGAAAUUAGCAAGUCUUUUCGGCGGCAAAAAGGAAGUGGAAGCAUGUGCUGGUGACUGUACUGGAUUCAUAUCUAGAUGCGUAAAUCAGAUCAAAGACUGGUUAUUGUCACACUCACAAUACUUGAACUUCUUCACUAUUCUGAUUCCUUCUACGGUUUCUAACCCAUUACUCGACCUUGCUGGAAUCAUAUAUGGACAAUUCGAUAAACCAUUUGGGGAGUUUUUCCUUGCAACGUUGAUUGGAAAGGCAAUCAUCAAAACACAUAUACAGGUUUUGUGAUAAGUUCGACAAUCUUCAUUUUAUGUAUCUGUACUAAUCAGCUUCUGACUGGUUAGAGAACGAGCUAUAUAUAUAUAUAUAUAUAUAUAUAUAUAUAUAUAUUAAGCUUUGUGCCGGGUUUUGCUUAUGCGUCGUCUGCACUCGUGCUUAUGCGUCGUCUGCACUCGCAGCCAAACUCCACUUAUUGGGAGAGAAGUACUUGGUUGCUUUUAAAAACGAGUUCAUUUUGGUUUAAGUGAAGAGAAAGAGCUUAUCUGUCUAAAAUAAAUAAAUCUACAUGUGUUGCUUAGAGUUGUUUGCUUUAGAGUCUUGUAUAGUGGUGUUAUCUCUGUUGACUCUUGCAGCAGCUUCUUUGUAGUUUCAUCUAUAAUUGAUGUAUUAGUUUCUCGAACGUUAUUAGUCUUAUAGACUACCAGUGUAACACAAUACAACUAACUCUGAAUGUGGUGGUUCUAAUUUGCAAAGCUACAUUCUGCCAGUGCAUGAUCUCAGAUUCGUUAUGCAAUAGCAGUACUAUUAUGGUAAAUUUAUAAUGUUUAAUAGUUGUUAAUCUUAUUGGUGUGUGCAGGCGGAAGCGAAGAAGACAGCUUCAAGAGAAGAUGACUUAUCAUUGAACAAAAGUAACAGUAUCCUACAGGGAUCUUCUGGUCUAGCACACUCUAAAAAUAUAUUUAUGGGAGGGUUGGCAUCAUCAUGACAGAGACUGAUUUCAAGAAGUACUUCGCUCAAAUUUGGACUAUCAUUGAUCUGGUGGUGAUGUAUGACCACGAAACUUGAUGUCGGAGAGGCUUUGGCUUUGUAGAUACGACGAAGAGGCUGUAGACAAAGUGUUGCAGAGGACGUUCCAUGGACUCGAUGUUAAUAUAGUUUGAGUUCAAAGUUGCUGUCCCUAAGGAAACGUCUCCCAGCCCAAACCGGAACAUUAGCCGCUUAAAUAAAUUUGGAAGUAGAAGGAUGAGUAUGUUUGUCAACAAUUACACUUAGGUAUUUUAGCAUGAGUUCAACCUCAGCCUAUGGAGCAGAACCUGACGUUAGGUACAGUCCAACAAUCAGUUACCGUGGCAGCUUCUCUCCUUAUGGCCACGGAUUCGAGAGUUGGCUGAACUUUACUGAGGGAACCCAUAAUCAGAAUUAUAUUAGUAGAUCUAAUAGAGUGUUUGGGCUGUUUUGCCCCAGAUAUAGUGCACGUCUUAGCAAUUACAAUGGCUAAGGAAAUGGUCUGUCAUCCAAAAUCAACUAUAGGUGGUAGGAAUUACAUAUCAAAUGCUGAAUUAAAUGGAAGGUUCAAGAUCUACAAGAGGAGGAGUUGUUCAUUUGAGCAGCUCGGUUUGGGAAAAUGUCCAGUGGAGGAGGCAUGGCGGUUUUGGAUACAUGAGCAACACAGAGAGACAGCUCACUUGGGUUCAGAAUCUAUAUUAUUGGAGAUGAAAUCAUAAAGAAUGAAGACUUUUUUUUGUAACAUACUUUUUUCAUUCAUAGCUUAAACGAUUACACUUGACAAUCAACAUCAGAUAUAUGGUGUUCAGUCUUUUUGGCUAAUUCAAAAACAA